rnacentral:rRNA from 1 species
UUCCGGUUGAUCCCGCCGGACCCGACUGCUAUUUGGGUGAGACUAAGCAAUGCGAGUUGAAUGGGAUGCCUAAAUAUCCCAUAGCAAACUGCUCAGUAACACAUGAUCAACUUACCCUAUAGAGAAGAAUAACCUCGGGAAACUGAGGAUAAUGUUUCAUAGUUGAAACGGCUUGGAAAAGUUUUUCAAUAAAAAGAAUAAGAAAAAUGGUUCUUAUUCGCUAUAGGAUAGGAUCGUGGACGAUUAUGGUUGUUGGCGAGAUAACGGCUCACCAAGCCGAUAAUCGAUAGGGGCCGUGAGAGCGGGAGCCCCGAGAUGGGUACUGAGACAACGACCCAGGCCUUACGAGGCGCAGCAUGCGCGGAACCUCCGCAAUACACGAAAGUGUGACGGGGUUACCCAAAGUGUUCAAUUUUGAACUGUGGUAGGUGAGUAAUGUUCCCUACUAGAAAGGAGAGGGCAAGGCUGGUGCCAGCCGCCGCGGUAAAACCAGCUCUUCAAGUGGUCGGGAUAAUUAUUGGGCUUAAAGUGUCCGUAGCCGGUUUAGUAAGUUCCUGGUAAAAUCGGGUAGCUUAACUAUCUGUAUGCUAGGAAUACUGCUAUACUAGAGGGCGGGAGAGGUCUGAGGUACUACAGGGGUAGGGGUGAAAUCUUAUAAUCCUUGUAGGACCACCAGUGGCGAAAGCGUCAGACUGGAACGCGCCUGACGGUGAGGGACGAAAGCCAGGGGAGCGAACCGGAUUAGAUACCCGGGUAGUCCUGGCCGUAAACGAUGCAUACUAGUGAUGAUACGGCCAUGAGCCGUAUCAGUGCCGUAGGGAAACCGUUAAGUGUGCCGCCUGGGAAGUACGGUCGCAAGGCUAAAACUUAAAGGAAUUGGCGGGGGAGCACACAAGGGGUGAAGCCUGCGGUUCAAUUGGAGUCAACGCCGGA